rnacentral:lncRNA from 1 species
AAAAGAUGAAGAAAGAGACAGCCUUGACAGUAAAUAUCUCAGCUGAGAAGAUGAACAAAGAGACAGCCUUGACAAUAAAUAACUCAGCUGAGAAGAUGAACAAAGAGAUGGCCAGGACAGUGAAUAGCUCAGCUGAGAAGAUGAGACAAGAGACAGCUACAGUAAAUGGCUCGGCUGAGAAGAUGAAGAAAGAGACGGCCUUGACAGUAAAAAGCUCGAACGAGAAGGUGAAGAAAGAAACAGCCUUGACAGUAAAUAACUCAGCUGAGAAGGUUAAGAAAGAGAUCGCUUCAACAGUGAAUGGCUCAGCUGAGAAGAUGAAAAAAGAGACCACUGUGGCAGUUUCGAAAUCACCUGACAUUGAAACUAUGCUGGGGCCAUUAGGGAGGAAUGAGACAUCAG